AGUGAUGUAUUAAAGUAUUUUGUUGGCAUUGAGUGGGGUGCGUUCCAUUAGAUAGUUGGCGGGUAACGCCCACCAAGUCUACGAUGGAUAGGGGUUCUGAGAGGAAGGUCCCCCCACAUUGGAACUGAGACACGGUCCAAACUCCUACGGGAGGCAGCAGUGAGGAAUAUUGGUCAAUGGACGAGAGUCUGAACCAGCCAAGUAGCGUGAAGGAUGACUGCCCUAUGGGUUGUAAACUUCUUUUAUAAAGGAAUAAAGUUCACUACGUGUAGUGUUUUGUAUGUACUUUAUGAAUAAGCAUCGGCUAACUCCGUGCC
rnacentral:rRNA from 1 species